AACAAAAUGGGAAUGCCCAUGGUGAUCCAAAAAACAACCAUCCAGAGCAUUUGGGUAGGCCAUUACAGGGAUAAUCGUGCUAGAGCCCUUAGCUGGAAACCCGCCGGCGACAUAAAGAUCUCCAAGAAAAGAUUAGCCGUUGAGAGAAUGAUAACGGGAAAAAAAAUUCAAAUAAUGUUGAUAGAGACCCCCCCCAAAAAGCAUCUGAAAUUAGGAUAAGAUAAACAAUUCAGUUUCAUUCGGUUACAGACAUUCAUUCUUUCUCUCAUUCUCCCUCUCUGUCGAUGUUCUGUUCUGUGAUUGUCUCUGUGUCAAUGUUCUAUUUUGUGAUUGUCUCUUUUCAAUGUUCUUUUUCUUUCUCUCUGUUUUGUUCAAUUUUCAUGUGCUUGGUUCGUUUUGUUUUUUCAUUUUUCUUUUGUACAGCGUGCACGCUGGUCUGUUUGUCUGUUUUUUUGGUGUUACAUUUUUGUGGCAGAGCAGAGGAAAGACCGAGGAGAGGAAGACGCAUAGCAACUGAGGGCAAAAUCUUCUUCCAGGCAUGAGAUGCAGGGCCUGCCAAGAGUUCAUAUAACCGAUGAAGAGAUGGGAAGUUUCUUCAUCGGAUGGGAAGUUUCUUAUGACCUGCUUCCUAGAUCAAAAGUAGCUGCUCUAGAAGGAAAACAUAUUUUCAUAACAGCUAACCCAGUGUUUGAAUUCUCUGUGUUCUCAGGAAAUGAGUUGAUCUUCACCUGCAUAACUAAUCCAUUUGGAUUUUCUAUCAAGCACAGAUCCUAUGGAGAGGUUCUAUUCAACUCCUCGUAUGGCAGCUUGGUUUUCAUUAUCUGACUUGCCAUACAAGCUUAUUGGGGUUCGCUGGAUUUCUACUUCGCACAUGGGACAUACAGGUGCAAUGCCCUAUUGGGCUUCUGGUAUGU